GCUUUCAACAUCCCCGUUCCAGUUCGAGCGGAGUGCGCGCAUAGCGUGCCUGCCCGUGCUUGGAGCUGAAAGC
ncrna:unclassified sequences nadA RNA